rnacentral:lncRNA from 1 species
CUACUUUCUCCUGUCAUUUCCAUAAACACAUACAUACACACACAUGAGAGAGAGAGAGAGAGUGUGUGUGUUUUGCGUGGUAUUUACAGCAAGUAAAGGAGGCAUCCAAAGGGAUCGCAUUGAUCUCAACUCUAUUAAUGUUGCAGCCAAUAUUUAGUUAGAUAUUGAAUUGGGAUCAAGCUAUCCCUUUGAAUUCCUCCUUUGGUGGCUUCUAAGAUAUGCAGAUCCAAUGAAGAAAGACAGUUCGACGGGAAAGAUCCAAUUUUACUUUUCUGAUUUAUAUGUAUGUUUACAUGUGAAAUCAGGUAAUUUGAUGGGUCUGGUUUUGUCUAAUUAAAUGAGAUUUUCUCAACUUGCCAAUUGCACUUCUUGAAUAUAGACAACAGCACAGUUUUAUCUUCGUGUUUUGGUUUUCCAAUUUUUGAGCAGUAUGUAUUUGGUGUUCGACUAAGUACUCUAACUGGUAUUUUUGUAUACUUGGAGCCUAUUUGGGAGUGAUUUUGAGAAUUGAUUUUUUGACCGUUAGGAAAAAAGUGAGGUCCAUCUGUGAGAGAAGAAGUCAAAUAUGACGGCUGAAAUAGUGAAAUAAUGGUCAAAAAAUCACUCUCAAACAGGCUGUUGGAUGUGGGGAACAGUGUUAUUGCUAUCAAUGGUAUUCCAAAGUCAAGUGGGCAGCUCAUGUGUAAAAAGAGGAAUAUGUAAGCAUACAAGGUUCAUGUUAGUACUCACUAUAAAAGAUUAGAUAGUGCAAGGAAGAAGAUUUAAUUUUUUUUUUCCAUAAAUAAAUAAUGGAAUUUUGAAUUGGCGUUAUGACCUUUUUUUUUCCCCUUCG